rnacentral:rRNA from 1 species
UGGGGAAUUUUGGACAAUGGGCGCAAGCCUGAUCCAGCCAUGCCGCGUGCGGGAAGAAGGCCUUCGGGUUGUAAACCGCUUUUGUCAGGGAAGAAAUGGGUUUCUCUAAUACAGAGACUUAAUGACGGUACCUGAAGAAUAAGCACCGGCUAACUACGUGCCAGCAGCCGCGGUAAUACGUAGGGUGCAAGCGUUAAUCGGAAUUACUGGGCGUAAAGCGUGCGCAGGUGGUUAUGCAAGACAGAUGUGAAAUCCCCGGGCUCAACCUGGGAACUGCAUUUGUGACUGCAUAGCUGGAGUGCGGCAGAGGGGGAUGGAAUUCCGCGUGUAGCAGUGAAAUGCGUAGAUAUGCGGAGGAACACCGAUGGCGGAGGCAAUCCCCUGGGCCUGCACUGACGCUCAUGCACGAAAGCGCGGGGAGCAAACA